rnacentral:rRNA from 1 species
GACGAACGCUGGCGGCGUGCUUAACACAUGCAAGUCGAACGGAAAGGCCCUGCUUGUUUGGGGUGCUCGAGUGGCGAACGGGUGAGUAACACGUGAAUAACCUGCCCUUGACUUUGGUAUAACUUCAGGAAACUGGGUCUAAUUCCGUAUAGGAGCUCCUCCUGCAUGGUGGGGGGGGGAAAGUUUCGGCGGUUGGGUAUGGACUCGCGGCUUAUCAGCGUGUUGGUGGGGUAGUGGCUUACCAAGGCUUUGACGGGUAGCGGGCUGGAGAGGGUGACCGGCAAAAUUGGGACUGAGAUCCGGCCCAGACUCCUACGGGAGGAAGCAGUGGGGAAUAUUGAACAAGGGGCGGAAGCCUGAUGCAGCACCGCCGCGGGCGGGAUGAGGGCUUUGGGGUUGUAAACCGCUUUAGUAUGUGACGAAGGGUGAGUGACGGUACUGGGUAAAGAAGCACCGGCUAAUUACGU